UCAUAACAGUUAAAUAUAGUAGAAAUCUGUUUAUCUGUGAAAUGUUCUUCCAUGUUGCUUUGUUUAGCAUUUUCUUCCCAUGAACAAUUUAACCCUUCAAAGGGAGGGAGCGUAAUACGUAGUUGUAGCCAGGAUAACAUC